rnacentral:rRNA from 1 species
GAUGAACGCUGGCGGCGUGCCUAAUACAUGCAAGUCGAGCGAACAGACGAGGAGCUUGCUCCUCUGACGUUAGCGGCGGACGGGUGAGUAACACGUGGAUAACCUACCUAUAAGACUGGGAUAACUUCGGGAAACCGGAGCUAAUACCGGAUAAUAUAUUGAACCGCAUGGUUCAAUAGUGAAAGACGGUUUUGCUGUCACUUAUAGAUUGAUCCGCGCCGCAUUAGCUAGUUGGUAAGGUAACGGCUUACCAAGGCAACGAUGCGUAGCCGACCUGAGCGGGUGAUCGGCCGCACGGGAACUGAGACACGCACCAGACUCCUACGGGAGGCAGCAGUAGGGAAUCUUCCGCAAUGGGCGAAAGCUUGACGGAGCAACGCCGCGUGAGUGAUGAAGGGCUUCGGAUCGUAAAACUCUGUUAUUAGGGAAGAACAAAUGUGUAAGUAACUAUGCACGUCUUGACGGUACCUAAGCAGAAAGCCACGGCUAACUACGU